rnacentral:lncRNA from 10 species
UCUAAAUUACAAACAGAAUAAGAUGAGUAAGCAAAGAUCAAAGUGAAGAAGGUGUGGAAUUUUGGAGUGCCAGUGGGUAGAAUGGUGUGCCAUGGGAAGGAGAGAGGAGCAUCCUGGAGACGCUCCUUUCACCAACAAGACUUUACACCAGGAAGAGUUCCUUUUAAAAUUGGCCUGGGUGGCAGAGGUCAGAACAUACACAAUUCAACAACAACUUGCGCCACCCACCUCCAAUUCCCUGCUCUACAGGACCAUCCUGACUUCCACAGUGACCCGAGCACUGGCAUUCCAAGGACUCAAAUGACCACCUUCCUCGCCCUUCAAUAAGGUUGCCUGGAAUUCUUCUAAGUAACACUUAUUCCUACACAUUAGGGAUUUUUCACCUCACAUUUCCCUUGCCCAAGAGCAAAAAGCUCAGGGAAUGAUUGGCUUUUCAAGCUAAAGAGUGGGAGAGUCUGGGGCGGUUGAAGACAGUCUGGGUAGCAUUUGAGGGGAGGAGAAAUGCAAGUCCAGAGGUGGGGCUGCGGGGCAGGAGGGAGUGGAUAGCCAGAGUAAUAGGGCUACGGUGUUUGGAAGAUGUGGGAGAAACAUUCUGGAAAGACAGAGGGGAGGCACAAAGACAAAGGUGGCUUGCUUGCUCCAACAGCUGAGUUUACCCUGACAGGCUUCUGUGUUCACAGUGCCACCCUACCCUCCCAGCCCUAGAGGUGAACCGGUUGAUGGGUCAAUCUUGAGUAGGUCAGAUUAAUUUUUUUCAGGGCAAAGGAAAACACUGAAAAAAAGAGCUUAGCUAAUGUUUCCAGGGCACCUUGAGAAAAGUAUAAUCUAUAGGAAAUGAGAGUAUUGAUAAUAUUAGACCCUAAAUAAUACUAAAACCAUUUGAGUAAAAAACAAUGAUAAGACUUUGGGGCUGCAGGACUAUGUCUCUGAGUCUGGGGCCUGUUCAAGAAGUCCUGCAAGAAAGGAGAGCCAGUUUUACCUUUAGAAAAGCUCCUGUACUAUUUUCUUAGUUUGUAACUUUAACAGACAAAAGUUCAAGUUCUUCAUCCCGAGUCGGGGUGAUGUGAGGAAACUGUGACUGUGAAUCUCACUGUCGUUUAUUUUUCUUCAGUAUCUCUCAGUGAAGAAAGUAUUUGGAUGAAUGACAGAAAGCAUCCUGAACUGUGCACCUGCAAAAGAUAUUUCACACAUUCCUUUUUGGACAUUUUGUUAUUUUCCUCUAAGCCGAUAGCCUUUCCAUCUUGUGCAGGAAAGAUCAUUAAGUAUUUCAUAGGCAUAAACAUUUCAUGUUCAAAACUUUUGGUACUUCAGUUGUAAUAUUGUUAUUGUACUACAUAAAUCUAAAAUAAAACCAGCUUCUCUGCCCAGUACCUAUCAGCUGCAAUUUAGGGGAAGUGCCUUUAUAUUUAUAUCCUAUGGGCCCAAUCAGGUAGAAAGAGAAUUAUUCUUUAUCUUGUCUAAUGUCCCCAAAUCUCCCAGGUCCCAAGUCACAGAAAGGCAAUGUGGUAGCAUUCUUCUGGGGACUCAUCAGAUAUAUCCUCAAAGUACUUUUGUCAAAUACAUUAUUCUAAUCAAUGUGAAUCCUAAAAUGUUAUUAUUAAUAGUAUAGUUAUAUGUUGUCAAUUUUUUUUGGAAUAUGAAUCAUUUUUGUAAGUAAUAUGUCAUUUGAUUGUCUCAAAAAUUCUAUCAAGUUAUCCCAUUUUGUGGGUCAAAGAACUAAGGUUCAGGAACAUGAAGGGACUUGCUUCAAUUAAUUGGUCAGGAUGUGAUGGCGGGGAGAUUUGGAGAGGCUCCAGGGUCCAAGGUUGAGCCUUUGUGCUAUUCUAUGUCACUUGGCUUCUGGCAGAGCACAGAUCUUAGAUGUUUAGCUCUUCAGUCACAGGAUGGAGAGGAGGGAAAGUCAGAAGCACGGAGGCGGUCCUGUUGUGUAGCACUGAUUUUCAGAAUCUUCCCCCAACACUUCAUCUUCCUCCUUGUUCUUUUCCUGGCCAAGCCUUAAUUGACCAGUUCUACUUCUAGUUAAGGACCAAUUCCUUCUGGCCCAGUGCUACAAGGACAUUAGCAAUCCCACUCCUUCACGAAGCUGAUUGUGAGUCAUGCCAGUUCCUCCUCCAGGCAGAACCAGGUGUGGGCACUCUUUCUGAGCUCCGCAUCGAACAUGGGGACCUGUGAUGCAGUGUUUUCAGCUCCCACUGGAGAGAUGCAGAGAGGGCGAUUUAUCAGUGACAGUCAAAAAAGCUGGUUCUGCCUCUUUCUAGAGGCAGAUGCAGGGGCCUAGAUGUUGUUAUUAAUCAUUCGUAAACGGUUCUGUGUUCAAAAUAGCAGUGUUUAAAUAUUUCAGAACAGGUCCAGCCUCAUAAAAAGUGGGUUAUGGGCUGUCAUGAUAACAUUUCAUCUCCUUCACCAUGUUGUGGCCGAGAGAAAUAAGCUGUCACUGCCACUUGCAUCCCUGACCCUCCAACAUGCCAGGGCACAGCAGCCAAUGGAGUGUGCUGGCAGCAAGGCAGGGGGGAGAAAGGCAGGACUACUCCAUCAAGAUACCACCAUGAACCAAAAGGGCAAUUUUCCCAUAUUUAGGCUGCCUGUUUGGGUUAACUAUCAACCAAAGACCUUUGUUUUUAAACAGAACCUUUUUUCUCUUUCACAUUUGAUAAAUAAAAGCCUUAGACUGAAAUUCUUUCUGAUUUUACUGCUUCCUUUAAGUUUUACCUCAUGACAUUUUGGAUAGACUGAAUGAAAUCAUAGUUUAUUUCCCUCCCUAUUCCGGUGCCUACCCUGCCCCGCACCUUUCCCACUUUCCCAGUUCUCGGAAUCUGUCUGACGUAACUGUUUAGGGAAGAUGGUAUUAACCUGAUAGCAUCUGAGGAACACCUGCCUGCAUUAUCACUACUUUACUCUGAGUUAGAAACCCCGUGCCCUUUUCAAUAACAAGAACAGGGAGAAACCAUCGUGAAACACACCACUCAGAAAGGAC